rnacentral:lncRNA from 1 species
GUAAAAAUAAAUAUAGCCCCUGAUUUAUUCUAAUUUACUCUUUGGUUGGCAAGGAAGGCACUAAUCAAAUAAACCUGCAGAUAAAUGAAAAAUUGCAACUGAGAUAAGUAUGAACAAGAAUAAAUUCAAAGCUGAAGAAGAAGAAAAUAAUUGGAAGAGAAACCUUGUCAGAAAGGGGACUUCGAAGCUCUAUGGAAGUGUCAAUGGACCCACAAUACAGUGGGGAAGGAAAGAGAUGCUCUGGCACUCUUUCUUUUAAAUGACAGUUUUAUAUUCAACUUUAAUGGUACAAGCAGUAGAAAGCCUGGCUGCUCACAGAGAUGCAGAAAACACUCAAAGCCUUGUUUCAGGACCCACCCACUAUCUUUCCCAUUUGGCAUCUGACUCAUAAUGAAGCCAGAGGCUGCAAGUUUUA